rnacentral:rRNA from 1 species
UACGAAGGGGGCUAGCGUUGCUCGGAAUCACUGGGCGUAAAGGGUGCGUAGGCGGGUCUUUAAGUCAGGGGUGAAAUCCUGGAGCUCAACUCCAGAACUGCCUUGAUACUGAAGAUCUUGAGUUCGGGAGAGGUGAGUGGAACUGCGAGUGUAGAGGUGAAAUUCGUAGAUAUUCGCAAGAACACCAGUGGCGAAGGCGGCUCGCUGGCCCGAUACUGACGCUGAGGCACGAAAGCGUGGGGAGCAAACAGG